AUACGUAGGGUGCAAGCGUUAAUCGGAAUUACUGGGCGUAAAGCGUGCGCAGGCGGUUUUGUAAGACAGUGGUGAAAUCCCCGGGUACCAUCUGGGGACAGCCAUUGCGACUGCAAGGCCGGAGCGCGGCAGAGGGGGAUGGAAUUUCGCGUUUAGAAGUGAAAUGCUUAGAUAUGCGGAGGAACACCGAUGGCGAAGGCAAUCCCCUGGGCCUGCACUUACUCUCAUGCACGAAAGCGUGGGGAGCAAACAGGAUUAGAUACCCUGGUAGUCCACGCCCUAAACGAUGUCAUCUGGUUGUUGGGGAUUUAUUUUCUCAGUAUCGAAGCUAACGCGUGAAGUUUACCGCCUGGGGAGUACGACCGCAAGGUUAAAACUCAAAUGAAAUGGCUGG
rnacentral:rRNA from 1 species